AAGUCGUAACAAGGUUUCCGUAGGUGAACCUGCGGAAGGAUCAUUAACACGUAUCCACGUAUCAACCAAUCGUGAACUCGUUUUCAUACCUCCCUGUGAGAAUUUUUGGAACGGUCAAACAAUUUGAGUGGGACUCCUCGGAGUCACGGUUUGACCCCAUAUACAAGAAUUCGACUCAGGUUUCUUCUUAUAAAAUCAAAUUCCAUUCAUAUUUGAAUUUAUAGGAUUUACUACUAACUAAUUUCACACCCUUUUUGCUAGUUGACUUUUUUUAUGUGGUGUUUAAUGAAAAUUAAUUUUUUCAGUGAGCUCACACGUUUAAUUACUUGAACGUUAAAAAUACAACUCUUAGCAAUGGAUAUCUUGGUUCUC
rnacentral:misc_RNA from 1 species